GUCAAAUAGCUCAGUGGGUUAGAGCGUGGUGCUGAUAAUGCCAAGGUCGCAGGUUCAAUCCCCAUAUGGGGCAACU
rnacentral:tRNA from 1 species